UGCCAGCAGCCGCGGUAAUACAGAGGUGGCGAACGUUGUUCGGAUUUACUGGGCGUAAAGGGUCCGCAGGCGGAUCGGUAUGUCAGAUGUGAAAGCCCACAGCUCAACUGUGGAAUUGCGUUUGAAACUGCCGGUCUAGAGUACUGGAGGGGAGAAGGGAACACUUGGUGUAGCGGUGAAAUGCGUAGAUAUCAAGUGGAACACCGGAGGCGAAGGCGCUUCUCUGGACAGAUACUGACGCUCAUGGACGAAAGCUAGGGUAGCGAAAGGGAUUAGAUA
rnacentral:rRNA from 1 species